GACGAACGCUGGCGGCGUGCCUAAUACAUGCAAGUCGAACGCAGUGGGGACGGGUGAGUAAAACGUGGGUAACCUCCCAUCAGAGGGGAUAACACUUGGAAACAGGUGCUAAAACGAUACUGAUGGAUGGUCCCGCGGUGCAUUGGAUAGUUGGGGAGGUAACGGCGCACCAAGGCCACGAUGCAUAGCCGGCCUGUGAGGGGGAGCGGCCACACGGGGACUGAGACACGGCCCAGACUCCUACGGGAGGCAGCAGUAGGGAAUCUUCGUCAAUGGACGAAAGUCUGACCGAGCAACGCCGCGUGAGUGAAGAAGGUUUUCGGAUCGUAAAACUCUGUUGUUAGAGAAGCGGUAUCUAACCAGAAAGCCACGGCUAACUACGUGCCAGCCGCCGCGGUAAUUC
rnacentral:rRNA from 1 species